rnacentral:pre_miRNA from 1 species
UUAUUGCUCCCUCCGUCCGGAAAUACUUGUCCUAGAGAUGAAUGUAUCUAGACUUAUUUUAGUUAUAGAUACAUUCAUUUUAUUCAUUUUUAGGACAAGUAUUUCCGGACGGAGGGAGUAUAAA